rnacentral:rRNA from 1 species
AUUGAACGCUGGCGGCAGGCCUAACACAUGCAAGUCGAGCGGAAACGAGUUAUCUGAACCUUCGGGGAACGAUAACGGCGUCGAGCGGCGGACGGGUGAGUAAUGCCUAGGAAAUUGCCCUGACGUGGGGGAUAACCAUUGGAAACGAUGGCUAAUACCGCAUGAUGCCUACGGGCCAAAGAGGGGGACCUUCGGGCCUCUCGCGUCAGGAUAUGCCUAGGUGGGAUUAGCUAGUUGGUGAGGUAAGGGCUCACCAAGGCGACGAUCCCUAGCUGGUCUGAGAGGAUGAUCAGCCACACUGGAACUGAGACACGGUCCAGACUCCUACGGGAGGCAGCAGUGGGGAAUAUUGCACAAUGGGCGCAAGCCUGAUGCAGCCAUGCCGCGUGUAUGAAGAAGGCCUUCGGGUUGUAAAGUACUUUCAGUCGUGAGGAAGGCGGCGUCGUUAAUAGCGGCGUUGUUUGACGUUAGCGACAGAAGAAGCACCGGCUAACUCCGUGCCAGCAGCCGCGGUAAUACGGAGGGUGCGAGCGUUAAUCGGAAUUACUGGGCGUAAAGCGCAUGCAGGUGGUUUGUUAAGUCAGAUGUGAAAGCCCGGGGCUCAACCUCGGAAUAGCAUUUGAAACUGGCAGACUAGAGUACUGUAGAGGGGGGUAGAAUUUCAGGUGUAGCGGUGAAAUGCGUAGAGAUCUGAAGGAAUACCGGUGGCGAAGGCGGCCCCCUGGACAGAUACUGACGCUCAGAUGCGAAAGCGUGGGGAGCAAACAGG